AUACGUAGGGAGCGAGCGUUGUCCGGAAUUACUGGGCGUAAAGGGUGCGUAGGCGGCAUGGCAAGUCAGAUGUGAAAUUCCCGGGCUUAACUCGGGGGGUGCAUUUGAAACUGCUGAGCUUGAGUGCAGGAGAGGAAAGCGGAAUUCCUAGUGUAGCGGUGAAAUGCGUAGAUAUUAGGAGGAACACCAGUGGCGAAGGCGGCUUUCUGGACAGUAACUGACACUGAGGUACGAAAGUAGU
rnacentral:rRNA from 1 species